rnacentral:rRNA from 1 species
AGUGAACGCUGGCGGUAGGCCUAACACAUGCAAGUCGAACGGCAGCACAGUAAGAGCUUGCUCUUACGGGUGGCGAGUGGCGGACGGGUGAGGAAUACAUCGGAAUCUACUUUUUCGUGGGGGAUAACGUAGGGAAACUUACGCUAAUACCGCAUACGACCUACGGGUUAAAUCAGGGGUUCUUCGGACCUUUCGCGUUUGUAUUAGCCGAUGUCGGAUUAGCUAGUUGGCGGGGUAAAGGCCCACCAAGGCGACGAUCCGUAGCUGGUCUGAGAGGAUGAUCAGCCACACUGGAACUGAGACACGGUCCAGACUCCUACGGGAGGCAGCAGUGGGGAAUAUUGGACAAUGGGCGCAAGCCUGAUCCAGCCAUACCGCGUGGGUGAAGAAGGCCUUCGGGUUGUAAAGCCCUUUUGUUGGGAAAGAAAAGCAGCAGGUUAAUACCCCGCUGUUCUGACGGUACCCAAAGAAUAAGCACCGGCUAACUUCGUG